rnacentral:rRNA from 1 species
AAACUGCUGCUAAUACCGCAUGAUACCUGAGGGUCAAAGGCGCAAGUCGCCUUGGGAGGAGCCUGCGUCUGAUUAGCUUGUUGGUGGGGUAAAGGCCUACCAAGGCGACGAUCAGUAGCUGGUCUGAGAGGGUGAUCAGCCACAUUGGGACUGAGACACGGCCCAAACCCCUACGGGAGGCAGCAGUGGGGAAUAUUGGACAAUGGGGGAAACCCUGAUCCAGCAAUGCCGCGUGUGUGAAGAAGGUCUUCGGAUUGUAAAGCACUUUUGGCAGGGACGAUGAUGACGGUACCUGCAGAAUAAGCCCCGGCUAACUUCGUGCCAGCAGCCGCGGUAAUACGAAGGGGGCUAGCGUUGCUCGGAAUGACUGGGCGUAAAGGGCGCGUAGGCGGCAUGUACAGUCAGAAGUGAAAUUCCUGGGCUCAACCUGGGGACUGCUUUUGAUACGUGCAAGCUAGAGUGAGGAAGAGGGUUGUGGAAUUUCCAGUGUAGAGGUGAAAUUCGUAGAUAUUGGAAAGAACACCGGUGGCGAAGGCGGCAACCUGGUCCUUAACUGACGCUGAGGCGCGAAAGCGUGGGGAGCAAACAGGAUUAGAUACCCUGGUAGUCCACGCUGUAAACGAUGUGUGCUGGAUGUUGGGGAACUUAGUUUCUCAGUGUCGUAGCUAACGCGAUAAGCACACCGCCUGGGGAGUACGGCCGCAAGGUUGAAACUCAAAGGAAUUGACGG